CAGUCGCCGCGGGAACACAGAGGGUGCGAGCGUUAAUCGGAUUUACUGGGCGUAAAGCGUGCGUAGGCGGCUUCUUAAGUCGGAUGUGAAAUCCCUGAGCUUAACUUAGGAAUUGCAUUCGAUACUGGGAAGCUAGAGUAUGGGAGAGGAUGGUAGAAUUCCAGGUGUAGCGGUGAAAUGCGUAGAGAUCUGGAGGAAUACCGAUGGCGAAGGCAGCCAUCUGGCCUAAUACUGACGCUGAGGUACGAAAGCAUGGGGAGCAAACAGGAUUAGAUACCCCUGUAGUCCCUGUCUCUUAUAC
rnacentral:rRNA from 1 species